rnacentral:tRNA from 1 species
GACGGGGUCUCAGGAGAGUCUCUUCUAGAAGAAUUAGGACGAUCAGCCUGCAAAAGGGA